rnacentral:sRNA from 1 species
AUUCUGCCCAAGCGGGGAAGGAUGAGAAGCUUCGACCAAGGUUCGACUUGAGCGCCAGCGAGAGAGCGUUGCCGCAGGCAACGACCCGAAGGCGAAGCGCGCAGCGCUGAGUAAUCCUUCCCCCACCACCA